rnacentral:rRNA from 1 species
CCCUUAGACGUUCUGGGCCGCACGCGCGCUACACUGACCAGUGCAACAAGCAUCCGUCCUUGGCCGACAGGCUCGGGCAAUCUUUGAACGCUGGUCGUGAUGGGGAUAGACUUUUGCAAUUUUUGGUCUUCAACGAGGAAUUCCUAGUAAACGCAAGUCAUCAACUUGCAUUGAUUACGUCCCUGCCCUUUGUACACACCGCCCGUCGCACCUACCGAUUGAAUGGUCCGGUGAAGCCUCCGGAUUGGCGCGCACCUCGGUGCCGCCGAGAAGUUGGCUAAACCUUACCAUUUAGAGAAAGGUGAAGUCGUAACA